UACGUAGGGUGCGAGCGUUAAUCGGAAUUACUGGGCGUAAAGCGUGCGCAGGCGGUCUGUUAAGACCGAUGUGAAAUCCCCGGGCUUAACCUGGGAACUGCAUUGGUGACUGGCAGGCUUUGAGUGUGGCAGAGGGACACGGAAUUCCGGGUGGAGUGGUGAAAUGCGUAGAGAUCCGGAGGAACACCAAAGGCGAAGGCAGUGUCCUGGGGAGUACCUGACGCUCAGGUGCGAAAGCCAGGGGAGCGAACGGG
rnacentral:rRNA from 1 species